GACGAACGCUGGCGGCGUGCUUAACACAUGCAAGUCGAACGGAAAGGCCUCUUUCGGGGGGUACUCGAGUGGCGAACGGGUGAGUAACACGUGAGUAACCUGCCCUUGACUUUGGGAUAACUUCAGGAAACUGGGGCUAAUACCGGAUAGGAGCUCCUGCUGCAUGGUGGGGGUUGGAAAGUUUCGGCGGUUGGGGAUGGACUCGCGGCUUAUCAGCUUGUUGGUGGGGGAGUGGGUUACCAAGGGUUUGACGGGUAGCCGGCCUGAGAGGGUGACCGGCCACAUUGGGACUGAGGUACGGCCCAGACUCCUACGGGGGGCAGCAGGGGGGAAGAUUGCACAAUGGGUGGGAGCCUGAUGCAGGAACGGCGGGGGCGGGAUGACGGGCUUCGGGUUGGAAACCGCUUUCGCUCAUGACGAAGCUUUGUGUGACGGUAGUGGGUAAAGAAGCACCGGCUAACUACGUG
rnacentral:rRNA from 1 species